CACACACACCCCCCCCUUACCAGCCUAUAUAAACUGAAGAAUGAGUCUGCAUUAAUACCAUUCUGUUCACAUCGUGACCAUCGUCCUCCUCCUACUCCUCCUCAUCAUCAUCAUUAUCAUCAUCAUCACCAUGGUCUCUCGUUCUCUCCUGCUGGUUCUGCUGGGUCUCACCUGCCUUCAGUCCUUCACAACAGCCAACAAUGGACAUGGACCAAGACAGUGCUGUUUCAAUUACCAGAAGAAGGAAAUCCCUGCAAAAUAUAUUACAGCGUAUGAAGAAACAGAGCAUCAGUGUACAAAACCUGGAGUCAUCUUUACCCUAAAUAAUGGUCGUCGUGUGUGUGCAGACCCCGGCGUCGAGUGGGUGAAGAACAUCAUGGAAAUAAUUGACCAGCGCUUUUUUACCUGAUCCAAACUCAAACAAGUGUUUCAAAACUCUCUCCAUUAAUAAGUCUUUCAUAUUUCUUUUACGAAAUCCACUUUUUAUGUAAUCAGACAGGAGGAAUAAAGAU